rfam:Bacillus selenitireducens MLS10, complete genome.
GAGUUCCUGUGAUGUUCGUUAUACACUCAACGUUUUGAGCCAACACUUACACAUAGGGAGCCCUACCUUGCUGGUUUCAGAUUCAAUGACAGGCCCCGCAAGCUGGGGAAGUCAGCGGAUCCGGACCGGGCACCCACCUGCCAAUGCAGGUUCAAACCAAGGUCAAUGGACGGCAUUCACGGGACUCUU